AUUUCUCUCCCUUUCUUUCGCGUUUCUUCGACUCUUUCGGGGACCUCUCUCUCCCUCGCUCUCCAUUUUAUUCUCCGCCUCGCUUUCUCUCUCGCGCUUCUUCACUAUUUCUCGUUGCCUCCUCCCGCCGCCCCCCUGCCGGGGCGCUUCGAGCCGAGAUAUUUCUUGAUUCUUUUUCUUUCUCUCUCUCCCUCGCUUUCGCGCUUGCUUUAUACAGCUACACGCAUUUCUUUCUCACUCUCUUUCCCUCUCACACACUAAUUUCUCUCUGCUCGCUUCUCGCGCGCUUCCUCCUCUCUCCUGCUUUUUUUCCCGCCUGACUUUUGUUCAAUCGCCUUACCUAACGGGUGGCCAAACAAUUUCACUUCCUCGACCUUGCACUGGAAUUAUUUUAUCCGCGUUAGGCGCCCCUGUCUUUCAUCCACUUUAGCUUCCGCCACAAAAGGCAUCAACAGCUGUGGCAAUAUUAACAUUAAACCAAACACAGUGCUGAGAUCUACCUCAACGAAGCGGUUUUUCGAAUCCGCUCUCAAGUUCGGAAAAAAGGCCGUUGACCCUCGCACCGCUUCCGUGUACUACCGAAUCAGGAAAAAUCGGGCCGGAUUUUUUCUCUUUCCCAUAAAUACUUUACGACUAAAGUUUGACGAACCGAGAAUGAGAAAAUUCGCAAACACCCCGCAAUUCGCGCGACCCUCAAAAGUCGUUCGCAACCGAAGUUAAUCGUUCUUCGUUACAAAGUCGCAGCAUCUGAAAACCUGGUUCAGUGCAUCCCCGCGGGCCGCACUAGCGCCCCAUUUUUCGAUGCGUGCAAACGGGAACCUCACGCAGUGCUAGUCGAGUACUUAAAUAUCUAUACGAUCGUAUACAUGCAAGGGGUGUGCGCAAUGUGUGUGAAUGUGUGGCUUUAGACGUGGGGGAAGUUUGUAUCAUAAAAGCAGCAGCGUCGAGGAGCAGAGAAGAUCGAUGCCGUAUGGCCGCAAGAUCUCGAGGAUUCCAACGUACGAUCAGAGAUCGCUCGUCUGCGUCCCACCAAAAAAACUGACCCCGCGGAGGGCAGCAAGUAUGCUAACCGAUUUGAAAAUGCACGGAAAAGCUGAGAACUCGUUUUAUUGGAAGAACUCACUCCUUAAAUAAUUCGGCAUCGUACCAGCUUGGCAGAUCUUCAGGCGUCAGAUCACUGUGCUCGGGGUCAAUGGUGUCCUCGUUCUCGAGCAACACCUUAAAGUGCUCAGCGGCCGUUUUCGUUUGAGCUGAACAUAGAAGUCAUAAAAAUGGAGUUACGAUAAAAUCGAGUGUCAGAGGGCGUACACUUGGACGAACGAAUCAUCAAAGCGCCACUUCCUCGCACAGGUGGAAGCACAGCUAUGAAUUUGAACCUCGUUAUCAGGGCCGAUAUAACGAAAGAAUUCACACGAGCCUCGGUCACGAGAAGGAACGAUUUAAUAGCAAAAUCAUCAUUUUUUUCUUCAGAAACGUGUGAAGCCAACGAGACGAAAAUCAUUCUCCGAGACUCAACAGUGUUGAAACUAACGUGCUAAAUAACCGUCAAUCUGAGCAGCGAAAAUCGUCGAGAAUGCUCAUUAAAUUAACAUUUAUAAGAAACUGUUUAUUAUUCAAUUGCUCGUUAUCCGUAAGCCGAUUGAACGGCUCCGUAAUGCUGCUCACCUUCGUCGAUGUGUUUGUCUACGUUCCCUGUCGAGGGAGCUGUCAUUGUUGUGAAUUGCUACGAAUUCAGUAGAGUCGAAAUAUUUCUUGCUCGUCCGUCCAGGGAUGGCCGCCUCGUCAAGCUUUUUGUCUAUCGAACUGUCGAAAAUUUGAAUUAAAAAUAACUCGCAGAAUCAUCGUUUUUAAAUCGAGGUGCUCGAAUCGAUAUUUCGGGUUUAGUAAACUUUACAUUCGAGGCAAAACUCCGAUUUUUUCACUCAAAUUCCGACCGACAGCAGCUUGGAAUUCAAGAUCGCGUGGUGCGAGCAGAGCGAAAGAAAUGAGGAAUCGAGAAACGUGAGAAGCGAUGACUUUUCGUUUUCUUUUUCUUAUGUCAAUAUUUUAGUUGAGAGACUGCGAAGGCUGCACAGCUCCCUCGCCUGUCAAAGCAAGUGCAUCGGAAGCCUGGCAAAUCAGCAAUUCUCAGGAUGUUUAAAAAUUAAGGAAUGAGUAAAUUUCGAAUCAAAUAUGCCUCGAUUCACGGAUGUGGCGAUAGAAGCAACGAGCUCCGUUGAGGGCGAUUUUAUUCGAUAGUUCUCGCGCACAAUUCCUCGUGUUAAUGAAAUUGUCAAACUUUUUAAAAGUUCAAACCGUUGGAAGGGGAUUGAAUUAUUGGCUGAGCGACGCGUCGAUGAAUUUGAGUGUUUGACGAACAAAUCGACAGUUGAUUCCAACGAUUUUACAGUUUUGUUGCUCAUUUCGUGGAGUUAUCGUGAAAUAUUUUCUCACGACUCAAUCACUGGAUUAUUCGAAGCAAACUCGUUCGAUAAACUUACUCACAGGGAGCGUAAUGAUCUGAAAUCCUCGGGAAGAGUUGAGAAAAACUUGUAACUAUAAAGCACAACACUUGAACGAGGAUUCGCGCCAGAAAUAACUCUUCAUUCCGCGUGUACCACUUCGGGCGGACCGAACUACUUCCAUCGACACUCGAAAGCCGACUGAAAACGUAACGCGCAGACUGGAGACUGCCGUGGCUACAGUUCAAUUUGCGACGUUCCAUUAGAGAGAUAAUGCGCUGCGCAAAGGUCAAUGGAAGAGGUUUCCUGGCGGAAAAUUCUCGGUUUAUAGAUGCAUGGCAACAUUGUAUCGUCGCCAUCCACCCUUCUUUAAGGAAUCCACCAUUUUUCGAAGGGACUGCAACGUGCAUUCAUCAAAGUGCAGGCAUCUGUGUGUUGGGUUAAUCAAAUAAACCAUUGUAGCAGGAAGAAAAAUGAUUUAUUCACACUUCCACAUGAGUUGGAGCGUUGAACGUUUUCAAUAACGAUCAGCUUAUUGAUCCUCAAUUUUUGCUUAUCGACUGACUUAAUCUCGAAAUAAAAGACAAUCGUAGAAAUGAAGAGUCCGAUGGCGAGGACAGUAAACGCAGCGGCGAGUGGUUUGAGCCCCAGGACUCGGAGUCCGGGCCCCAGGACAUCGUGUUCGAGGAAGACCUCGCGGUAAACAGCUCCAGUACGUCUGGCAAUGACGUCUCGAAUGUGGUAAUCGAUGAAACCGUUUUCUCGAAGCCUGCUCAGGACCUUUUACGUGGCGCCAGAAGCCAGGGCUGGACGGCAAAAGAGACGUAAUAACUGCCCAUGGAUUCCGCCAUCACUCGAUAAGCCUAAAAAAUGUUUAGAAAGAACAAAUUUUUGUUUCGUUUCUAGAAAUAACACUAGAAAUUUUACAAGUUCUUUACUGAACUAUUUUCAAAGUACUUUUCAACGGUUCGCUUACUUCCAAAUCUUUGUCUCUGAUCUCACUUUCUGGGAAGAAGAUCAAAUUUAUGACGCGUCCAAGGAUUGCGUACUUUCCUCCCAAAAUUUUGUUGUGUCGAUCUUCUUCGUUAUUUUCGAUUCGAAAGUGCCUGUUGAGUUGGGCGUUCCAUUUAUUCUACAAAUAAAAAUUAAAUAAGUAGCGU